rnacentral:rRNA from 1 species
GAUUAAGUUAUUAAGGGCGCACGGUGGAUGCCUUGGCACUAGAAGCCGAUGAAGGACGUUACUAACGACGAUAUGCUUUGGGGAGCUGUAAGUAAGCUUUGAUCCAGAGAUUUCCGAAUGGGGAAACCCAGCAUGAGUUAUGUCAUGUUAUCGAUAUGUGAAUACAUAGCAUAUCAGAAGGCACACCCGGAGAACUGAAACAUCUUAGUACCCGGAGGAAGAGAAAGAAAAUUCGAUUCCCUUAGUAGCGGCGAGCGAAACGGGAAGAGCCCAAACCAACAAGCUUGCUUGUUGGGGUUGUAGGACACUCUAUACGGAGUUACAAAGGACGACAUUAGACGAAUCAUCUGGAAAGAUGAAUCAAAGAAGGUAAUAAUCCUGUAGUCGAAAAUGUUGUCUCUCUUGAGUGGAUCCUGAGUACGACGGAGCACGUGAAAUUCCGUCGGAAUCUGGGAGGACCAUCUCCUAAGGCUAAAUACUCUCUAGUGACCGAUAGUGAACCAGUACCGUGAGGGAAAGGUGAAAAGCACCCCGGAAGGGGAGUGAAAUAGAACCUGAAACCGUGUGCUUACAAGUAGUCAGAGCCCGUUAAUGGGUGAUGGCGUGCCUUUUGUAGAAUGAACCGGCGAGUUACGAUUUGAUGCAAGGUUAAGCAGUAAAUGUGGAGCCGUAGCGAAAGCGAGUCUGAAUAGGGCGUUUAGUAUUUGGUCGUAGACCCGAAACCAGGUGAUCUACCCUUGGUCAGGUUGAAGUUCAGGUAACACUGAAUGGAGGACCGAACCGACUUACGUUGAAAAGUGAGCGGAUGAACUGAGGGUAGCGGAGAAAUUCCAAUCGAACCUGGAGAUAGCUGGUUCUCUCCGAAAUAGCUUUAGGGCUAGCCUCAAGUGAUGAUUAUUGGAGGUAGAGCACUGUUUGGACGAGGGGCCCCUCUCGGGUUACCGAAUUCAGACAAACUCCGAAUGCCAAUUAAUUUAACUUGGGAGUCAGAACAUGGGUGAUAAGGUCCGUGUUCGAAAGGGAAACAGCCCAGACCACCAGCUAAGGUCCCAAAAUAUAUGUUAAGUGGAAAAGGAUGUGGCGUUGCCCAGACAACUAGGAUGUUGGCUUAGAAGCAGCCAUCAUUUAAAGAGUGCGUAAUAGCUCACUAGUCGAGUGACACUGCGCCGAAAAUGUACCGGGGCUAAACAUAUUACCGAAGCUGUGGAUUGUCCUUUGGACAAUGGUAGGAGAGCGUUCUAAGGGCGUUGAAGCAUGAUCGUAAGGACAUGUGGAGCGCUUAGAAGUGAGAAUGCCGGUGUGAGUAGCGAAAGACGGGUGAGAAUCCCGUCCACCGAUUGACUAAGGUUUCCAGAGGAAGGCUCGUCCGCUCUGGGUUAGUCGGGUCCUAAGCUGAGGCCGACAGGCGUAGGCGAUGGAUAACAGGUUGAUAUUCCUGUACCACCUAUAAUCGUUUUAAUCGAUGGGGGGACGCAGUAGGAUAGGCGAAGCGUGCGAUUGGAUUGCACGUCUAAGCAGUAAGGCUGAGUAUUAGGCAAAUCCGGUACUCGUUAAGGCUGAGCUGUGAUGGGGAGAAGACAUUGUGUCUUCGAGUCGUUGAUUUCACACUGCCGAGAAAAGCCUCUAGAUAGAAAAUAGGUGCCCGUACCGCAAACCGACACAGGUAGUCAAGAUGAGAAUUCUAAGGUGAGCGAGCGAACUCUCGUUAAGGAACUCGGCAAAAUGACCCCGUAACUUCGGGAGAAGGGGUGCUCUUUAGGGUUAACGCCCAGAAGAGCCGCAGUGAAUAGGCCCAAGCGACUGUUUAUCAAAAACACAGGUCUCUGCUAAACCGUAAGGUGAUGUAUAGGGGCUGACGCCUGCCCGGUGCUGGAAGGU